rnacentral:rRNA from 1 species
UACGUAGGGGGCAAGCGUUGUCCGGAUUCAUUGGGCGUAAAGAGCGUGUAGGCGGCCUGGAAGGUCAGCUGUGAAAACUCGAGGCUCAACCUCGAGACGUCGGUUGAAACCACCUGGCUCGAAUCCGGAAGAGGUGAGUGGAAUUCCUGGUGUAGCGGUGAAAUGCGCAGAUAUCAGGAGGAACACCAAUGGCGAAGGCAGCUCACUGGGACGGUAUUGACGCUGAGGAGCGAAAGCGUGGGGAGCGAACAGG